UUGUAACACACUAGAGAUCAGCUUAAACCCUGGCCUUGGAUGAUCUUCUCAAACCCGUUUCUAAAUGGAAACAGUCGCACGGAAGGUCUCCUUUUUAUCAUCUUCUCACAACAAAGUGCAAGAUAUCCUUACCUGAUCCAAAGUCAUAUGCCCAUAGCAGGAUGAAAGCAGACUGUAAGAGCUUCACUGUACUGGAGACAGCUUUCCUACUGCUUAAUAGCACUCAGGAUCUUGCAGCCUAUGACAACAUAUUACAGUCUGGAGAAGUGGUAAAAUCAAUGAGAGGAAACACUCUGGAUCACAUUUUGUCAGAAAUCUGACAAAGGCUUUGGAGACACCAAUACUUACUCUGCCUUUGCUGACUUUGCUAAACCAAGAAGAGGACAAGGACCAUAAAACAACAGGAUUACUGGGAAUGUACAGGAAGAAGUAGCUUCUGCAAGUCUGUAAUAGAAGAGUAUAUCCACAAAUGCUAGACCAAGGCAAUGGUAUCUGGUACACUGCAUCUUCUUGUCCAUCCCUUCCAAUAUCAAAGGAGACAGAUCUCUCACUGCUUGCCAGACCGGCACUGACAUCUCAGUUUAGUGAAGAGGUACACAUUGUGAUGCUGUCAGAGGAAUAAAAGAGCUAUGUCAGCAUUUGAAGGAAGAAUU
rnacentral:lncRNA from 1 species